rnacentral:rRNA from 1 species
UGAGGAAUAUUGGUCAAUGGGCGCAAGCCUGAACCAGCCAAGUAGCGUGAAGGACGAAGGCCCUACGGGUUGUAAACUUCUUUUAUGCGGGGAUAAAACGGCCCACGGGUGGGUCCUUGCAGGUACCGCAUGAAUAAGGACCGGCUAAUUCCGUGCCAGCAGCCGCGGUAAUACGGAAGGUCCGGGCGUUAUCCGGAUUUAUUGGGUUUAAAGGGAGCGCAGGCGGGGACUCAAGUCAGCCGUCAAAUGUCCGGGCUCAACCCGGGCUCGCGGUUGAAACUGUUUCCCUUGGGUGCACAAGAGGCAGGCGGAACUCGUGGUGUAGCGGUGAAAUGCAUAGAUAUCACGAAGAACCCCGAUUGCGAAGGCAGCCUGCUGGGGUGUUACCGACGCUCAUGCUCGAAGGUGCGGGUAUCAAACAGG